AGUGAACGCUGGCGGUAGGCCUAACACAUGCAAGUCGAACGGCAGCACAGUAAGAGCUUGCUCUUACGGGUGGCGAGUGGCGGACGGGUGAGGAAUACAUCGGAAUCUACUUUUUCGUGGGGGAUAACGUAGGGAAACUUACGCUAAUACCGCAUUCGACCUACGGGUGAAAGCAUGGGAUCUUCGGACCUUGCGUGAUUGAAUGAGCCGAUGUCGUAUUAGCUAGUUGGCGGGGUAAAGGCCCACCAAGGCGACGAUCCGUAGCUGGUGUGAGAGGAUGAUCAGCCACACUGGAACGGAAACGCGGUCCAGACUACUACGGGAGGCAGCGGUGGGGAAUGUUGGACAAGGGGAGCGAGCCUAAUCCAGCCAUACCGCGUGGGUGAAGAAGGCAUUCGGGUUGUGAAGCCAUUUUGUUGGGAAAGAAAAGCAGCAGGUUGAUACCCCGCUGUUCUGACGGUACCCAAAGAAUAAGCACCGGCUAACUUCGUG
rnacentral:rRNA from 1 species